rnacentral:misc_RNA from 1 species
GACGGUUUGGUGGAGGUCCCCUCGGGGGCUCCUGCCCCUCCCAAAGACAAUGACGGCGGCCUCGUUGGACCCCCGGUACACUGAGUUCUUCACGGGACACGUAUCGGACACAUGGGUUUACGGGACACGGUCUGCCUCCCCUCAGGGAGAAUCUUUCUAAGGUUGACCUCGGAUCAGGUAGGGAUACCCGCUGAACUUAA